GAUGAACGCUGGCGGCGUGCUUAACACAUGCAAGUCGAACGAGAGAAGAUUGGUGCUUGCACUGAUCCGAUCGAGUGGCGGACGGGUGAGUAACGCGUGGGUAACCUGCCUCAUACAGGGGAAUAACAGUUGGAAACGGCUGCUAAAACCGCAUAAGCGCACAGCAUCGCAUGAUACAGUGUGAAAAACUCCGGUGGUAUGAGAUGGACCCGCGUCUGAUUAGCUAGUUGGUGAGGUAACGGCCCACCAAGGCAACGAUCAGUAGCCGGCCUGAGAGGGUGAACGGCCACAGUGGGACUGAGACACGGCCCAAACUCCUACGGGAGGCAGCAGUGGGGAAUAUUGCACAAUGGGGGAAACCCUGAUGCAGCGACGCCGCGUGAGUGAUGAAGUAUUUCGGUAUGUAAAGCUCUAUCAGCAGGGAAGAUAAUGACGGUACCUGACUAAGAAGCACCGGCUAAAUACGUGCCAGCCGCCGCCGUAA
rnacentral:rRNA from 1 species